rnacentral:tRNA from 1 species
ACGGCAUUAGUUCAAUGGAUAGAACAAAAACCUCCUAAGUUUUAAAUGCCGGUUCGAUUCCGGCAUACCGUGCCA